rnacentral:lncRNA from 1 species
AUGAACUAGAUGUGUUGUUCUGAUAUUUUAUUCUUAGGGUUGACAGGAGAGUUGCUGUCUAUCAAGAAUGGAGAAGCAGCUGACAAUUAGGAAGAAUUUCAAACAAAGUGGGGCUAAUGAAUGAGUGAAAAGUAAUCACUGCAUGCUGCACUGAAAGGUAUUGAGACAGAUGUCUGCUGGUUUCUUUCAGAUUUGAUACAGCUAUCAGUAUUGUAGAGCGGGGCACAGCAUUUUAAUGCAGAUAGGAGAUAGAAGGGAUACUGUAUUAGCUGUGAGAACCAAAGUGCUUCUACAGUCUGAAAACGCAUCCCACUACAGAGCUCCAAUUGCACGGUAAGUCUUCUAGCAGGUAAAUUACCAAGUGCUGAUAUCAAAUCUUUCUGAUCAGUUGACCUUUUGUGUUCUCACACAGGCUUAUUCCAUCUUUCUCACAGCACAUUUGGAAAGGAAAAUUGCCAUUCCAUCAUUUUUCACCUGAAGCCUGCUAUCUGACCCAAGAGACUGGUAUCAAUCUGUGUCAUCUGCAGAUGAAAACUGUCCAGACUUAGUCUCCUCCUAGAUCCACAGUUGAGUGAGGAUUCAUUGAAGCAACUGCUGGAUGAUGACAUACCUCAUUAACACCACAGACAGACUGGAGUUCAAGGUCUUUGCUUACCUUCAUUUUAACAGUGUGAUAUUUGGAGAGAAACUUCCUCUGCCCACCCAAAGCUGCCAUUGCGAAGGCAGCUUCUGAUUUUUUUUUCCUCGCAAGUCUGACUGUGUCU